rnacentral:tRNA from 1 species
AAGUCUUAUAGUCAACAAUGAUUUCAAAUUGCAAAUUUGAAGGUGAUUCUAUAUCUAAGGCUUA